GUAACUCCAGCUCCAAUAGCGUAUAUUAAAGUUGCUGCAGUUAAAAAGCUCGUAGUUGGAUCUCGGUAUCACUGUUGGUCGUCAGUCCUCGGGUGGGUUGCUGUGGUGCAUGGGCAUAGCCUGUGUUGCUACGGCGGUCCUGUUCGAGUGGCGAUGUGAUGGUGUCACCUUUGAGCCAUGUCUGUGGUGAAAUACCCGCAGGUGUAGGCGAGUGUCAGGCGGUGCUUUGCAAAAGUAGGGCUCGUCGGCUCGUCUGCAUGCCUUUGGAUGCCCUUUAAAAGGUGUCUGUGGGCGGAUGGCACGUUUACUUUGAACAAAUUUGAGUGCUCAAACCAGGCCGAUGUUGCCUGAAAAGUUUUGCAUGGAAUAAUGGAAUAGGACUUCGGUCUACUCGUUGGUA
rnacentral:rRNA from 1 species